GAGGCUUAACCUUAAACGUGCGGUUGAAACAGAGAUUCUUGAGUAUGGACAAGGUGGGCGGAAUUCGUGGUGUAGCGGUGAAAUGCUUAGAUAUCACGAAGAACUCCGAUUGCGAAGGCAGCUCACUGGGGCAUUACUGACGCUCAGGCACGAAAGUGCGGGGAUCAAACAGGAUUAGAUACCCUGGUAGUCCGCACCGUAAACGAUGAAUACUUGCCGUGUGCGAUACAAGGUACGCGGYUGAGCGAAAGCAUUAAGUAUUCCACCUGGGAAGUACGCCGGCAACGGUGAAACUCAAAGGAAUUGACGGGGGCCCGCACAAGCGGAGGAACAUGUGGUUUAAUUCGAUGAUACGCGAGGRACCUUACCCGGGCUUGAAUUGUGUCUGAAUAUGCCUCAAAGGGCAUAGUCGAAAGACAGACAUGAAGGUGCUGCAUGGUUGUCGUCAGCUCGUGCCGUGAGGUGUCGGCUUAAGUGCCAUAACGAGCGCAACCCUGAUUGUCAGUUACCAGCUGGUAAAGCAGGGGACUCUGACAAGACUGCCGUCGUAAGAUGUGAGGAAGGUUGGGAUGACGUCAAAUCAGCRCGGCCCUUACGUCCGGGGCUACACACGUGUUACAAUGGGUGUUACAGUGGGUCGCUACGCGGAGACGCGAUGCCAAUCUCCAAAGACACUCUCAGUUCGAAUCGAAGUCUGCAACUCGACUUCGUGAAGAUGGAUUCGCUAGUAAUCGCGCAUCAGCAACGGCGCGGUGAAUACGUUCCCGGGCCUUGUACACACCGCCCGUCAAGCCAUGGGAGUCGGGGGAACCUGAAGUACGUUUCCCAUCAAGGGACGUCCCAGGGUAAAUCCGGCGACCGGGGCUAA
rnacentral:rRNA from 1 species